ACCGGAUUAGAUACCCUGGUAGCCCUCGCCGUAAACGAUGAGUGCUAAGUGUUAGAGGGUUUCCGCCCUUUAGUGCUGCAGCUAACGCAUUAAGCACUCCGCCUGGGGAGUACGGUCGCAAGACUGAAACUCAAAGGAAUUGACGGGGGCCCGCACAAGCGGUGGAGCAUGUGGUUUAAUUCGAAGCAACGCGAAGAACCUUACCAGGUCUUGACAUCCUCUGACAACUCUAGAGAUAGAGCGUUCCCCUUCGGGGGACAGAGUGACAGGUGGUGCAUGGUUGUCGUCAGCUCGUGUCGUGAGAUGUUGGGUUAAGUCCCGCAACGAGCGCAACCCUUGAUCUUAGUUGCCAGCAUUCAGUUGGGCACUCUAAGGUGACUGCCGGUGACAAACCGGAGGAAGGUGGGGAUGACGUCAAAUCAUCAUGCCCCUUAUGACCUGGGCUACACACGUGCUACAAUGGAUGGUACAAAGGGCUGCAAGACCGCGAGGUCAAGCCAAUCCCAUAAAACCAUUCUCAGUUCGGAUUGUAGGCUGCAACUCGCCUACAUGAAGCUGGAAUCGCUAGUAAUCGCGGAUCAGCAUGCCGCGGUGAAUACG
rnacentral:rRNA from 1 species